rnacentral:rRNA from 1 species
CCUACGGGAGGCAGCAGUGAGGAAUAUUGGUCAAUGGACGAGAGUCUGAACCAGCCAAGUAGCGUGAAGGAUGACUGCCCUAUGGGUUGUAAACUUCUUUUAUAAAGGAAUAAAACGAGGCACGUGUGCCUUUUUGCAUGUACUUUAUGAAUAAGGAUCGGCUAACUCCGUGCCAGCAGCCGCGGUACUACGGAGGAUCCGAGCGUUAUCCGGCUUUAUUGGGUUUAAAGGGAGAGUAGAUGGGUUGUUAAGUCAGUUGUGAAAGUUUGCGGCUCAACCGUAAAAUUGCAAUUGAUACUGGUAGUCUUGAGUACAGUUGAGGUAGGCGGAAUUCGUGGUGUAGCGGUGAAAUGCUUAGAUAUCACGAAGAACCCCGAUUGCGAAGGCAGCUUACUAAACUGUGACUGACAUUGAUGCUCGAAAGUGUGGGUAUCAAACAGGAUUAGAUACCCCGGUAGUC